rnacentral:rRNA from 1 species
GUGGCUAACCUGCCCUUGGGACCCGGAUAACCCCGGGAAACUGGGGCUAAUCCGGGGCAGAUAAGGGGAUCUGGAACGACCUCUUAUCUAAAUGCCUCCCGGCUGAUCCCGUCGGGAGGUGCCCAAGGAUGGGGCUGCGGCCCAUCAGGCUGUUGGGGGAGUAAAGGUCCCCCAAACCGAUAACGGGUAGGGGCCGUGGGAGCGGGAGCCCCCAGUUGGGCACUGAGACAAGGGCCCAGGCCCUACGGGGCGCACCAGGCGCGGAACGUCCCCAAUGCGGGAAACCGUGAGGGCGUUACCCCUAGUGCCCUCGCAAGAGGGCUUUUCUCCACUUUAGAACGGUGGAGGAAUAAGCGGGGGGCAAGACUGGUGUCAGCCGCCGCGGUAAUACCAGCCCCGCGAGUGAUCGGGACGUUUAUUGGGCUUAAAGCGCCCGUAGCCGGCCUGUAAAGUCACCGUUUAAAGACCCGGGCUCAACUCGGGGAACGGCGGUGAUACUUACAGGCUAGGGGGCGGGAGAGGUCGGAGGUACUCCCGGAGUAGGGGCGAAAUCCUCAGAUCCCGGGAGGACCACCAGUGGCGAAAGCGUCCGGCUAGAACGCGCCCGACGGUGAGGGGCGAAAGCCGGGGUAGCAAAUAGGAUUAGAUACCCUAGUAGUCCCGGCUGUAAACGAUGCAGGCUAGGUGUCGCGUAGGCUUUGGGCCUACGCGGUGCCGCAGGAAAACUGGUAAGCCCGCCGCCUGGGGAGUACGGCCGCAAGGCUGAAACUUAAAGGAAUUGGCGGGGGA